rnacentral:lncRNA from 1 species
CCCUAUAAAUAGAAGGCAUAAGCUUCGAGUUUAAGCACACAUUCACAAACCUCCAGAUACUCUCACACUCUUCUAAAGCUCCAGAGACCAUUCCAUCACCUUGGUUUCCGCACUCGAGCCCCCGACGAAAGAUUUACGCUGCAGAGACCCUCGAAGAGCCCGACGACGCAACCAUCCGCGGUCGAAGUUCUGCUCAAACCUAGCCUCUCUCUCUUCAAACUUAACAAGUGAGUUCAUACCCCUAUUUUUCCAUUCUUUUCACGUUUUAGGGGGGGAAUACAAGUACAUUACAAGUCAAAGUAUCAUUUCAUAAACAUAAUUAUAAUAUCGUUCUUAUAGGGUUUUGAUACAAAAAUAACGUUAUGUUUAAAGGGCUAAUAUAUCACCAAGUUGUUCUUACUAUAUGGAAACAUACUUUUGAGAAACUAUAAUGCGUGUAGUAUUCAAGUGAUUCAUACAUUUUACAUAAACAUCUCGACAAAUGAAAUGCUUUCAAAGGAAGUAAAGUCUUUACUAUCGUAAAUCUGUUUAUACUAAGUAAUGUGAGACAUUUAAACUUCAACGUACUCGUGUGUAUGCAUUUCAAGUCCUGUAUUAUAUACCAUAAUCUCUUGGAGAGAGAGCGUGAUACUUGUGUAUAGAUCUAUACGGGAUUGACAAUCCCACACCUAAGCUGUUAGCUACAGCUAGGCCGGCAGGCCUGGGGUGACAAAUGUCAUAACAGUUCCAACGCCUGAAGAACGUUGUUACAGGCCAUCAAUGUCAAUAGCAUGGUUAUAAAACUCACAUUAAAGUAUAAAAACAAGUUUGAUUUACGAGAUUCAUCUAUGCAUUUCAGUUUUCCAUUUUAUUGUUAACACAAAGUUUAUCACUAUUAUACAAGUAUGGAAAACACUAACGCAUUUCAACACGGGAAACUUUUCAAAUCAUUUAUAGAAAAUAUUGGAUUUUCUGAAAACCUCGUUCAUCGAUUUACUAUCAAAAAGGACAUACUUUUCAAAGCAAAACUCUUAUGAACUCACCAACUUAAUUGUUGACACUUUUUCGAAACCACUUGUAUUUCUCAGGGAAUCAGUAAUACAGGUAACCACCAGCUUUUGGAGAAAGGAACACUAAGGAUGUUUUAUUAUUGAACAUUUAUCAUCUCAUUGUAAUAUUCUUUUGCUAAUAUGUAUAACGCAACAACAUACGUUUUCAUUAUAUAUGUGAUGGUUGUGUUACUUUCUUUACAAUAUUCAAUGGUUGUGAUACUACGUGAAGUCAUCCACCCCCGAAUGUUUCCGCCAUUCUGGUUUGGGGGUGUGACAGAUUGGUAUCAGAGCAUUGUUUAUAGUGAACUAAGUAUAUCGAACCACAUACGAUAUACAAACUAUAAAUGCAAAGGGGACCAAAAACCCUCUGAUGAAACAUUUUCAUGAACAAAAUACUUUCUUUUAAAGAUAUACAUUUUUACAAGCAUGCAUUAAUCUCGUAUCAUAACAAGUUUUACUAAAAAGUAUUAAGGCAAGUUACGACACUACGAUUGAGCCUCGGGGUAUGUAAUCAGGUCGAGAAUAAAUAUAGCCUGAUCAACUAUAUUUAUCCUGGAUUUGACCAACGUACGUCGAGGAAUGGUCGUAGUGGACAACAAGCCAAAAACUUACCAAAUACAAAUUAUUUUAGUUUCGCCAAGUUGAAAUAUUAUAGGAGUAUUAUUAAAAAUAGUUGUACAAUAAAAAUUAUAGUUAAAAAUAAUAAGUCGUUAAAUAGAAAUUUCUUUUCUUAUAACGUUCUCAUACAUCUAUCCUAGUACAGACAAAUGGCCGGAUUCCAUUUACCAGGAGAUCCCUACUACCCAAACCAAGGCAACGGCGGUUGGAUAGAAGAAGACCCGGAGGAAGACCCAGAGGAAAUCGAAGAAGAGGUCGAGGAAGAACCCGAAGGGGUUAUCGAGGGAGAAUUCGAAGUCGAAGUCGGAGAGGAAUUCGAAGUCGACGAAGAGAUCGAGGAGAUUUCUAGCGGGACAGACUCCGAGCCAGAAGUGUACGACCCUCCCAUCCCUCAUCCUCCCGAAAUCAGACCAUAUCAACCGGGACCCAUUCCCAUGUGGGGAAGUCACCUCUACUACUGGAGCCGCCAACAAGGUGUACGCCCUCCUUUCGGCAUGUGCCGAGAUUUUUACAAUGUCAGUGGGGGAAGCUCAGCUGAUCGAGCACUUCCUGUUAUUGUGAACGCUAUAGCUACCCAGAACUACGAGACGGACAGGCAAGCAGCCAGAGUUCGCGAGGUCAAUGCUGCUACCCAAGGUAACGCCGCUGACAUCCGCCGUUUGGAAGGACUACAUGAGAAUACCCAAAUCUACACGGGGACACUUCAGAACCAAAUGAUAACGGCUCUGGCAGAUAUAAGAGAGAUGAAGGAACAACAAGCAGAUCUUGAGAGGCGACUGAUGGGAGUCAAACGGUCGGAUGCCGAAUCUAGCUCCAAACGCCGCAAGUAGAACUUGUUCGAUGCCCAACAAUUUUGUUAUAGAUUAGGAUUUCGGAUAAAAGUUUUUCCCUUAUUUCCCUUGUUUUCCCUGUUGUAUCCGUAAUCGGAGAUCUCUAGGAGGAUCAAAUUUUCCAAACAACAACAUGUAAUGUAAAACACCUCAGGUGUGACCUAUAUGUAUGAAUAUGAAGUAUUUCUUACCUCUCAAAAAUUACGAGUUUUUAAUUUUCUAUGCCUACCUUGAAACCAUAAACUAAAGCCAAAACAAAUUGCAAGAUACAAUUAAUACUCGAUUGUCAAAACAUUAGAAACUUAUAGCAUUCAUUCUUAUUUUUCUCCACCAGAACAUGCCUCCUCGUAGAUCAACACGCAGAAACUCAACUUCAACACCACCUCCACCACCUCCUCCAAUUAUGGACACCGUUAUGUUCCAGACUGCUGUAACCGCUGCUGUAACUGCAGCAAUGGCUCAAAUGAGCAACAACGGAUCGGGGGGAGGAACAAACAGUUUUACAAAUGGCCAAGGUCAAAGCCGUUCAGGGGUAUGCACUUACAAAGACUUCACCAACGGAAAACCUAUUCCCUUUUGCGGGACUGGGGGAGUAUUGGCUCUAUCUCAAUGGAUAGAGAAAACAGAAGCUGUAUUCGAAAUCUGUGCAUGUCCUGAAGAAAGCAAAGUAAAGUUCGCCGCUUUUACUUUCUCUGAACGCGCCCUGACAUGGUGGAACGGCCACGUCCAGACACUAACCCUGGUGGUGGCAAACUCCAUGGGUUGGGAAAACCUGAAAAGAAUGCUCCUUCGAGAAUACUGCCCAAGAGGCGAGAUUCAGAAGCUUGAACAGGAACUGUGGAACCUCUCGAUGGUAGGAUCGGACAUAGCUGGUUACACCAACAGGUUCAGUGACUUAAUAACACUUUGCCCAGGAAUGUUAACCCUGGAGAGCCAAAAGGUUGAGAGAUACAUUUGGGGACUAUCACCCCAACUUCGAGGAAGUGUGCUAGCUUCCAGACCCUUGACUUUCGCCAGCGCCAAGGAACUAGCGCAAUCUCUUGUUGAUCAUGGUGUCUGUCAAGGAGUCGCGGCGAUUAUGGCUGAACCAACCAAAGGGAACAGCAACAAUGAAAUCAAUGCCAACAACAACAACAAGAAGAAAUUUUGGAACAAAAGGAAGGGGCAAACUUCACAAGAACCUUCAAAGAAACAAAUGGUUGCGGUUUAUGCUGCUACUACCCCCACCACAACUCCUGCUACCUCUGCACCAACAAAACCAUAUGCAGGGAUUCUGCCCAAGUGCAGCAAGUGCAACUACCAUCACCAUGGUAUUUGUCGCGAGAUGCACUGCAAGAACUGUGACAGGAAAGGGCACACAGCCCGUUUCUGUAAAGCACCGGCACGACCAAUUACUCAGGUUCCUGGAACUGGGGUAAGCCGGGCAUGUUAUGGGUGCGGAGAGACUGGACACUUCAGGAGGGAUUGUCCCAAGGAAAGGAAUAUUGGCGGUGUGGGGAGAGUGCUGGCAGUAGGACAGAGAGAAGCAAUAGCGGACCCCACGGUGGUUACGGGUACGUUUCUACUCAACAACACUUAUGCAUGCAUACUUUUUGACUGCGGUGCGGAGAGAAGUUUUGUGAGUCAUAAAUUCAAACACCUACUUAAUCAAGAACCCCAACCACUCAAUAAAAUAUUCACUGUAGAAAUGGCAAACGGUAAAACAGAACACGCAAACGAUUUAUACGUAGGGUGCACACUAAAUUUAAACGAGCACUUGUUUCAAGUCGAUCUUAUGCCCAUUUCCAUAAGAAGUUUCGAUGUCAUCAUCGGUAUGGACUGGUUGAGCCUUCACCAUGCCGAUAUCCUUUGCCACGAAAGGGCUGUUCGCUUAAAUCUGCCAAACGGUGAAACUCUUGUCAUUUAUGGCGACAAACCUAGUUCAAGUUUACAAAUCAUUUCCUGUAUUAAAGCACAAAAGUAUCUUCGUAAGGAAUAUCAUGCCUUUCUAGCCCACGUAGUAGACAAGAAACGAGAAUCGAAAAACAUUAAAGAUAUUCCGGAAGUCUGCAACUUCCCGGAUAUUUUCCCAGAAGAUCUUCCAGGAAUCCCACCGGAACGUCAAGUCGAGUUCAGAAUCGACUUAAUCCCCGGGGCUACCCCUGUAGCAAAGUCGCCGUACCGUUUAGCCCCAGCCGAGAUGCAGGAACUAUCCAGUCAAUUAAACGAGCUGCUAAGCAAGGGAUUCAUCAGACCAAGUUUCUCACCAUGGGGAGCGCCAGUCCUAUUUGUGAAGAAGAAGGACGGAUCCUUUCGCAUGUGCAUCGAUUAUCGGGAGCUAAACAAACUCACAAUCAAGAACCGAUAUCCCUUACCGCGCAUAGACGAUCUAUUCGACCAACUGCAGGGGGCAAGCUACUUCUCAAAGAUCGAUCUAAGGUCUGGUUAUCACCAACUACGAGUACUGGAAGGAGACAUCCCCAAAACGGCUUUCCGAACACGUUAUGGUCACUACGAAUUUGUGGUAAUGCCCUUCGGAUUGACGAAUGCUCCAGCAGUGUUCAUGGACUUGAUGAACCGAGUAUGUCGUCCCUUCCUGGACAAGUUCGUGAUCGUGUUCAUAGAUGAUAUACUCAUCUAUUCAAGAAGCCAGGAAGAACACAGCAAACAUCUCCGCCAAGUACUGGAAACAUUAAGGGCAGAGAAACUUUACGCAAAAUUUUCCAAAUGUGAAUUUUGGAUUCGGGAAGUGGAUUUCCUAGGACAUGUUGUAAGCAAAGAAGGAAUACACGUGGACCCCUCCAAGAUAAAGGCAAUAGAUAGUUGGACUACUCCAAGAACCCCUACAGAAAUCCGGCAAUUUUUGGGACUCGCCGGGUAUUACCGAAGAUUCAUACCGAACUUUUCAAAGAUUGCCAAGCCACUUACCACCCUAACCCAGAAGAAUGUGACCUUCGACUGGGGAGAAAAACAAGACAGUGCAUUUCAGACACUAAAGCGAGCCUUAUGUAGUGCGCCCAUCCUAACCUUGCCAGAAGGAACGGAGGACUUCGUGGUCUAUUGUGAUGCUUCAAACCAAGGACUUGGGUGUGUCUUAAUGCAAAGAGGGAAGGUCAUCGCCUACGCCUCAAGACAACUAAAGACGCACGAAGUGAACUACACAACGCAUGAUCUUGAGCUAGGAGCAGUCGUCUUCGCUCUGAAGAUAUGGAGACACUAUCUCUACGGCACAAAAUGUACCAUCUUCACUGAUCAUAAAAGCCUCCAACAUAUCCUCAACCAGAAGGAACUCAACAUGAGACAGAGGCGAUGGGUAGAACUACUAAGUGAUUACGAGUGCGAAAUCCGAUAUCACCCCGGAAAGGCUAAUGUAGUGGCUGAUGCACUCAGUCGGAAGGAGUACUCAGGUCGCCGAGUGAAAUCCCUAACUAUGACAAUCCAUUCACACCUGUUCACGCAAAUCAAGGAAGCCCAAAUAGAAGCCUUGAAAUCCGAAAAUGUGACAGGAGAAGCCCUAAGAGGAAUGGAUAAGAACCUUGAGACCAAGAACAACGGAAUUCGUUAUUUCAUGGAUCGAAUUUGGAUACCGAAGUUUGGUGGAUUCAGAGAAAUCGUUAUGGACGAAGCCCAUAAAACACGAUACUCCAUACAUCCCGGCUCCGAUAAGAUGUAUCUCGAUCUCAAGAAGUUGUACUGGUGGCAAAACAUGAAAGCCGAAAUUGCUACCUACGUAAGCAAAUGCCUGACAUGUGCCAAAGUCAAGGUGGAAUAUCAGAAGCCCUCGGGUUUAUUACAACAACCAGAAAUACCCGAAUGGAAGUGGGAGCGGAUAACCAUGGAUUUCAUAACAAAGUUGCCCAAGACAACAAGCGGACUCGACACCAUUUGGGUAAUUGUCGACAGGUUAACUAAGUCAGCGCAUUUCCUACCGAUCAAAGAGACGGAUAAAUUGGAGAAGUUAACAAGGACAUACCUCAGAGAAAUUGUACGACUGCAUGGUGUGCCCAUAUCCAUUAUCUCGGACCGAGAUAGUAGAUUCACCUCAAGGUUCUGGCAGUCGCUACAAAAAGCUUUGGGGACAAGACUAGACAUGAGUACCGCUUAUCACCCACAAACCGACGGCCAGAGCGAGAGAACUAUACAAACCCUAGAAGACAUGCUGAGAGCUUGCGUAAUCGAUUUUGGCAAAGCAUGGGACACACAUCUACCAUUGGUCGAGUUCUCGUACAACAAUAGCUACCACACCAGUAUCAAGGCUGCCCCGUUCGAAGCCCUCUAUGGCCGCAAAUGCAGGUCACCUUUGUGCUGGGCCGAAGUGGGGGACACGCAACUAGCAAAAGGACAAGCAACUGACAACACGCUCACUGGACCAGAAAUCAUAAGGGAGACUACGGAGAAGAUUGUUCAAAUCCGAGAACGUCUAAAAGCAUCAAGAGAUAGACAAAAGAGUUACGCAGAUAAGAGACGCAAACCCUUGGAAUUCCAAGUUGGAGACCAUGUCCUACUCAAAGUCUCACCUUGGAAAGGUUUAAUACGCUUCGGAAAACGUGGAAAACUGAACCCUAGAUACAUCGGACCAUUCGAGAUCCUUGCCAGGAUCGGUCCAGUGGCUUACAAACUUAGACUACCUCAGGAACUCCACAACGUACACCCUACCUUUCACGUAUCAAAUCUAAAGAAGUGCUUAUCCGACGAGACCCUUGUCGUCCCUCUAGACGAAAUUGCAAUAAAUGAAAACCUUCAAUUUGUGGAGGAACCAGUAGAGAUCAUGGAUCGGGAAAUCAAAAGGACUAAACAAAGCCGCAUACCCAUUGUAAAGGUCCGCUGGAACGCCAAGCGAGGACCUGAAUACACCUGGGAACGCGAAGAUCAGAUGAAACAAAAGUACCCGCAUCUUUUUCCUAAAACUGUAAACUCUAUCUUAGAUUAAAUUUCGGGACGAAAUUCCCUUAACAGGGGGAUGAUGUGACAACCCUAUUUUUCCCAAAAAGCAUUGUAAACACUCGAAAGCUAAAAACAACGAAAUUAACCUCGAAAAUAAAGUGUUCAAGUAUCUAAGUUGGGAUGCAUCGAAUAUUAGAUAUCAUGCCAAGGUUUCCAAAAACAUAAAGAACGCUCAAAACCGGGUUAUAUUGAAGAAAUUAUAACCACUCGUAUAUUUACGACGCGACGUUAAAACAUUAUUUGACGUAAAAAGUAGAAUCUCAAUAAAAUGCAUUUUAAGCCUUAAGUAUCUAAACAAAAGUCGUAGAUCUCGUUGAAAGGUGAACGUACAUAAAAAGAUCGCCCAAAUUGGACCUCGUAUGAAGAAGUUACGAAUUUUCAAAGUUUCGUAACAGUAGUAGAGGGCUAAAAACUCGGAUUGAAGAUCGAGUGUUAUUUAGCUAACGCAACCUAAACGAAAGUUGAAGAUCUCCUCAGUAGUAAUAAAACAAUAAAAAGACAAACGAAAACCGACGUCGAAUAAAGAACCUAUGAAUUUUUAACGAACUUUAGGAGGCCCGGCCUAUUAAAAAUAUAUCAUUAAAAAUAAAGUCAAAACUAGCCGACGGAGUCUAAAUGAAAGUUGUAGAGCAUAAUCUCACCUACGCGUGGAUAUAAAGAACGCGAAAAACGGAGCUCGUACGCGAAAGUUACGGAAUUUAGAAGUCGGAAGCAGGGAUUACGCCCCGCGUACUCUGGGAGUACGCCCCGCGUACUAGACCCAGAGUCGAGUCUCAUCGGCCCGCCCAAGCUACGCUCGGCUAGACCCAGGAGUCCCAUCGACCCGCCCAAGCUACGCUAGCUAGACCCGAGUCGUAAGCCAUGACGCCAUCUUACGCCCCGCGUACUCCGGAAGUACGCGCCGCGUACGGGGGUUUCCAGCCCUAUAAAUAGAAGGCAUAAGCUUCGAGUUUAAGCACACAUUCACAAACCUCCAGAUACUCUCACACUCUUCUAAAGCUCCAGAGACCAUUCCAUCACCUUGGUUUCCGCACUCGAGCCCCCGACGAAAGAUUUACGCUGCAGAGAUCCCCGAAGAGCCCGACGACGCAACCAUCCGCGGUCGAAGUUCUGCUCAAACCUAGCCUCUCUCUCUUCAAACUUAACGAGUGAGUUCAUACCCCUACUUUUCAAUUCUUUUCACGUUUUAGGGGGGGAAUACAAGUACAUUACAAGUCAAAGUAUCAUUUCAUAAACAUAAUUAUAAUAUCGUUCUUAUAGGGUUUUGAUACAAAAAUAACGUUAUGUUUAAAGGGCUAAUAUAUCACCAAGUUGUUCUUACUAUAUGGAAACAUACUUUUGAGAAACUAU